rnacentral:tRNA from 1 species
GGCGAGAUAGCUCAGCUGGUAGAGCACAUGACUGAAAAUCAUGGUGUCCCGGGUUCGAGUCCCGGUCUCGCCA